rnacentral:rRNA from 1 species
GGGGGAUAUUGCACAAUGGAGGAAACUCUGAUGCAGCAACGCCGCGUGAGGGAAGAAGGUCUUCGGAUUGUAAACCUUUGUCCUUGGUGACGAAACAAAUGACGGUAGCCAAGGAGGAAGCUCCGGCUAACUACGUGCCAGCAGCCGCGGUAAUACGUAGGGAGCGAGCGUUGUCCGGAUUUACUGGGUGUAAAGGGUGCGUAGGCGGCUCUGCAAGUCAGGCGUGAAAUACAUGGGCUUAACUCAUGGACUGCGUUUGAAACUGUGGGGCUUGAGUGAAGUAGAGGUAGGCGGAAUUCCCGGUGUAGCGGUGAAAUGCGUAGAGAUCGGGAGGAACACCAGUGGCGAAGGCGGCCUACUGGGCUUUAACUGACGCUGAAGCACGAAAGCAUGGGGAGCAAAC